GACGAACGCUGGCGGCGUGCUUAACACAUGCAAGUCGAACGGAAAGGCCCCGCUUUGGGGGGGUGGAGGAGCGGAGAGGGGGGGAGCAAGACGGGAGUAUACCGCCGUCGUUUUUGGGACAACUUCAGACAAGUGGGGAUAACACAGGAUAGGAGCUCCUGCUGGAUGGGGGGGGGUGGAAAGUUUCGGCGGUUGGGGAUGGACUCGCGGCUUAUCAGCUUGUUGGUGGGGUAGUGGCUCACCAAGGCUUUGACGGGUAGCCGGCCUGAGAGGGUGACCGGCCACAUUGGGACUGAGAUACGGCCCAGACUCCUACGGGAGGCAGCAGUGGGGAAUAUUGCACAAUGGGCGGAAGCCUGAUGCAGCAACGCCGCGUGCGGGAUGACGGCCUUCGGGUUGUAAACCGCUUUCGCCUGUGACGAAGCGUGAGUGACGGUAUCGGGUAAAGAAGCACCGGCUAACUACGUG
rnacentral:rRNA from 1 species